AACGCGAAGAACCUUACCAGCUCUUGACAUGUCCAGUAUGGGGCCGAGAGAUCGACUCCUUCAGUUCGGCUGGCUGGAACACAGGUGCUGCAUGGCUGUCGUCAGCUCGUGUCGUGAGAUGUUGGGUUAAGUCCCGCAACGAGCGCAACCCUCAUCUUCAGUUGCCAUCAGGUAAAGCUGAGCACUCUGGAGAAACUGCCGGUGACAAGCCGGAGGAAGGCGGGGAUGACGUCAAGUCCUCAUGGCCUUUAUGGGCUGGGCUACACACGUGCUACAAUGGCGGUGACAGAGGGACGCGAAGGGGCAACCCUUGGCCAAUCUCAAAAAGCCGUCUCAGUUCGGAUUGUUCUCUGCAACUCGAGAGCAUGAAGCUGGAAUCGCUAGUAAUCGCGGAUCAGCACGCCGCGGUGAAUACGUUCCCGGGCCUUGUA
rnacentral:rRNA from 1 species